rnacentral:tRNA from 1 species
GGGGCUGUAGCUCAGUGGUAGAGCACUUUCCUUGCAUGAGUGUGGCCCUGGGUUCAAUCCUCAGCACCACA